rnacentral:lncRNA from 1 species
GUUUGUUUUCCUUGUUAAUUUCCAUCUUCUUGAAUUUCCACUGCUCGAUAGUCCUUAGCCUUUGUUUGUUUGAGUUGUUUAGCCACUUCUGUUACAUAGGCUCGUGUGGACUGAGCCCGGGAAAGGCUAACCCUAAGUGCGAUAUGGGCUAAUUGCUCGUGAGUUUGUGUUGCCGUAAAAUUAGCGAUGUAGUUGGAUAGACAACGGACACAUAGAUCUUGAUAGAGCGUGGCUUGGCACUGGAAUUCGAUGAAUGCCCUAGCACGCGAGCGCCUACGAAUUGCCGGAUGUUUUGCCGUGGCGACCGAGAAGAUGACAAGGAGAAGUAUGAAAGAGAUCCUAAUUUUUGCCAUGUGCUUGUGAUUAAGAGAUGACUUUCUAAUGUUAUUUGUGAUUUGAGUGCAAAAAU